CUUCAGUGGGCAUGCAUAGUACCAUAUAUUCAAUGACUUACGAGUUUUAAUUUCCUGUGGGAAACAUUUCUUAUGGCCUGCAGCUUGAAAUGUUUUACAGGGUGGGAAUCCAAAUCCAGGCUGAUAGUAUCUGUGGAUCUCCUGUACCCAACAGACUGUCACUGGAGAGCACCAGGCCAUUGUAAAAUGUUGAGUCUAAUCUGGAGCUCCAGUAAGGUCAGUGGAACCAGAUCUUAUUUUAACCUACCAUGUGUUUAUUCCAGCACAUGAUAAGUGAGAUCAAGCCAAAUUCAGCUGUGGUGUAAUU
rnacentral:lncRNA from 1 species